rnacentral:rRNA from 1 species
UUCGAGUGGCGGACGGGUGAGUAACGCGUGGGUAACCUGCCUUACACAGGGGGAUAACACCUGGAAACAGGUGCUAAUACCGCAUAAGCGCACAGGGCCGCAUGGCCCGGUGUGAAAAACUCCGGUGGUGUAAGAUGGACCCGCGUCUGAUUAGCUUGUUGGCGGGGUAGGGGCCCACCAAGGCGACGAUCGGUAGCCGGCCUGAGAGGGCGGACGGCCACAUUGGGACUGAGACACGGCCCAGACUCCUACGGAAGGCAGCAG